AAAGGCUGCAGUCGGCUCAUGCUUAUUGCAGUACUCAGAAUCAAAACCACGACCACAAAAUUCGACCUAAUAUAUAGCCACAUAGGAGAGAAUCAAAAGAACAGUUGGUAAAGUAAGAUUAGUAAUCUUGUAACCAUCUUCUCUUUUGGUUCCUGUCCUGUAAAUUCGGAACACAACUAUGUUUCCAACGAUCUGAGCAACACAGAAGCAAAGAACAGCGGCUGUUCCGAGCCAAAAAGCAUGGCUUCUUGGUAUAUAACAGGUCCUCUCUGUGUCCCAUCGAACGUCUUCUUUCUACAGACAUGGAUAUUUCAGAAAACGUUGGUUUGAACUUUUCGAUUAACGAAACACAAAAAGAGACUUUUAAUGGAAGUUAGCUUACGUGGUACCUUUGUUCUAUUGAACUCGGCUAUAAAACAUGUGAUGAAGGAAACGAGACCAAGAAGGAACACGACCGAGUGGAGAACAUGGUUGUGCAUAGUUUCUAAAUCGUUGUACCCUGUAAGAUUUGUGGAUGCACGUAUAUAUGUAUAACUCUACAACAUAAAUGUUUAAUCUUAUUUGUCAACUAAACAAGAGUGGGAAAGGGCCAAGUAGCUGAAUAUUCUUAGUUAUAUCAAAUGAUAUUUUUCAAAAACAAAUUUGAAGGAAAUAGAUGAUGGCGUAGUAUACUUAGUUAUACUGUUAUACACAUCUUAAAAUUUUCGGUUAUCUGAGGGAAUUACUCAGAGAAAUUUUCUUCGUCAACCAAAUGAAUAUAGAAAACGGGGAAUAUAUUCUAAAAUGAUAAUUCUGCUAAAAUCAUUCAAAGGAAAAAGAUUUGACUAAUUAAAGGAGAGGUCAACGUUGAUUAUUCAGCCUUUUUAAACAGAGAAAAUCAAAUGAUGACAAAAGACUAUGUUAUAGAUCAAGCCUUCCCAAGUUGUAUUUUUCUUAAGAAAAUGAAAGUUGGAAUUUGGAUUUUCAGUUGGCGACUAGGCUUAGAAACAUUAUCCAUUUUGCUUAUCUCUACAUUUUUUAUUUAUCAAAUUGUUUACUAUUCUUUAGUAGUAUAAGCUACAAAUAAAAGCAAAAUGGAUAUCCCA